GGUAGUGCUGUCAUAGUAACUACGCGUAUUGAGAUGGUUGCUCAGAAUGGCAACAGCUUUUGUCAAGCACAUGGGGAGAUUGUCUGAAGAAGAUUCUUGGCAGUUGUUUCAACAGCUUGCAUUCGGGAUGAGAAGGAAAGAGGAGCGGGCACGCCUGGAAGCCAUUGGAGUAUCAAUAGUGAAGAAGUGUGGUGGUGUUCCUUUAGCUAUAAAGGCACUAGGGAACCUAAUGCGGUUAAAAGAAAGUGAAGAUCAGUGGAUAGCUGUCAAAGAAAGUGAGAUUUGGGAUCUAAGAGAAGAAGCAACGAGAUCUUACCUGCUUUGAGGUUGAGUUACUAAUCUAUCACCACAUUUGAAGCAAUGCUUUGCGUAUUUCGCUAUAUUUCCAAAAGAUCACGUGAUGAGGAGGGAGGAGCUGGUUGCUUUGUGGAUGGCAAAUGGCUUUAUUUCUUGCAGAAAGAAAUGGAUUUGCACGUCAUGGGCAUUGAGAUAUUCAAUGAACUAGUGGGAAGGUCAUUUCUGCAAGAGGUCGAGGAUGAUGGAUUUGGCAACAUAACAUGUAAAAUGCAUGAUCUUAUGCAUGAUCUUGCACAAUCCAUUGCAGUACAAGAAUGCUAUAACAGAAGGCGAUGGGAGUUGGAAAUUCCUAAAACUGCCCGUCAUGUUGCUUUUAUAACAAAUCAGUAGCUUCGUCUUCUAAGUUCUCAAGGUCCUAUCACUUCGCUCACUUCUUUGAGGAAUGAAGAGUAUGGAUGGAUGGGGAAAGAUUCCUGGUCGAAAACAUCGAGCCUUGAGUUUAAGAAUAUCCGGGUGAAGAAAUUGCCGAAGUCAAUUUGUGAUUUGAAACAUCUAAGGUAUCUAGAUGUGUCAGGCUCGAAGAUCAAAACACUGCCUGAAAGUACAACCUCUCUCCAAAACCUCCAGACACUAGAUCUGAGAGAUUGCAAUAACUCAUCCAAUUACCAAAAGGUAUGAAGCACAUGAAAAGUCUUGUCUAUCUUGACAUCGGGUUGUUAUUCACUUCGAUUUAUGCCUUGUGGAAUGGGGCAAUUGAUAUUCCUGCGAAAACUUACCCUGUUCAUUGUGGGUGGGAGAAUGGUCGUCGCAUAAGUGAGCUGGAAGGGCUGAAUAAUCUUGCUGGUGAAUUGAGUAUCACAGAUCUUGUGAAUGUUAAGAAUUUAAAAGAUGCCAAAGUGCCAAUUUGAAGUUGAAGACAGCUCUUUUAUCACUGACUUUAUCUUGGCAGGAAUGGAGAUUACCUUUUUGGCCCUCUGUCAUAUGUGCCACCAGAACAAAGAAAGAGUGUGGAUAUGGAGGUCCUUGAAGGGCUUCAACCUCAUUCAAAUCUGAAGAAGUUGAGGAUAUAUGGAUAUGGAGGUUCAACAUUUCCUAAUUGGAUGAUGAAGCUACCAUAUCUGGUAGAGAUGGAGCUAUCAGCGCACCACUGUGAACAACUUCCACCAUUGGGGAAACUACAGUUCCUCAAGAGUCUUAAAUUAUGGGGAAUGGAUGGUGUGAAGAGUAUUGACAGCAAUGUGUAUGGAGAUGGGCAGAAUCCAUUCCCAUCUUUGGAGACGCUGGCUUUCUAUUCAAUGGAGGGAUUAGAGCAAUGGGCUGCGUGUACUUUUCCUUGCCUUCGAGAUUUGAGGAUAGUCGGUUGCCCUGUGUUGAACGAAAUACCAAUUAUACCCUCCGUCAAAACAUUACACAUCACGGGAGUGAAUGCUUCGUUGCUGAUGUCAGUUAGGAAUCUCACUUCUAUCACCUCCCUUGAUAUAGGAGGGAUUCACGCUAUAAGGGAGCUUCCCGAUGGGUUUUUGCAAAAUCAUACCCUCCUUGAAAGCUUAGAAAUUGGUGGGAUGCGAGAUCUGGAGUCUUUGUCAAAUAGGGUAUUAGAUAACCUUUCUGCUCUUAAAAGCUUGAGGAUUUUUGAAUGCGAGAAACUUGAAAGCUUGCCAGAGGAAGGUCUUCGUAACCUCAAUUCCUUGGAGCUUUUAAGCAUAAAGUAUUGUGGAAGAUUAAAUUGUCUGCCAAUAAAUGGGAUGUGUGGCUUAUCUUCUCUUCGCGAGUUAUCUAUUGGAAGUUGUGAUAAAUUCACAUCUCUAUCAGAGGGAGUGCGGCAUCUGACGACACUUGAGGAUUUGAAGCUUGAAGGAUGUCCAAAGCUGAAUUCAUUGCCAGAGAGUAUCCAACAUCUCACUUCACUCCAAUCUCUAAGAAUAUGGAACUGCGAGGGAUUAGCUUCUUUGCCAAAUCAGAUUGGAUAUCUCACUUCUCUCCAAUCUCUAUACAUUCGGGGUUGUCCAAAUUUGAAGAAAAGGUGUGAGAAAGAUUUAGGCGAGGACUGGCCUAAGAUAGCUCACAUUCCUAGCAUUGACAUUAGAUGAGAAUAAAUUUUAUUUUUUUAGUUUUAAUUUGUUGUAAUUUUUUAAAUAACUUUAUCAAAUUCAUUAUUGUUAUAUUUUUCAUAUAAAUGUGUAAAAAUAAUUGAUUCAUGAUUAUUAUGGGGACAUUGGGGAUUGUGAUAGAUUAUUGUAUAGAGAUUAGACUUUUUGGCAUCGCAUUUAUGGGUAUAAAGAUUUUAUUGUAAUUUCCUUCCUCACAUAUUUUCUUUUGGUGAAAUUGCUUUUAGCUAAAGAUUACAUGAACCACGCUACGCAAACUGGAAAAAAAAAUCUUGGCAUUCAAACAUAUUUUAAAAAACAAGAAAAUGUUGGGAUCUGGAUCAUCAACUCGGCUAGGCUAGAUCAAAUAAGUUUCUCCUAUCUCACAACAUCUUAUGCACCAAACAAAGAAAUCAAAAUAGCGACCAUUUUAAGAAAAAAUAACAUUAAUAAAAAAAUAACAAAAAUACAUUUUAAUCUAACAGGUGUCAUAAAAGAAUUGAGAAUCCAAGGGGAAGAAAUGAUCUAAGCAAACCCCAAGUGCGCUUCUGGACAUGCAACCCAUGUAUAAGAUAAUGAUAAUUUUUUAAAAAUCUUUUAAAAAAUAAAAAAUAGAAUACAAAGCGUAUAAACAGAAAAAAAAAAAAUAUUGUGAUCUUUCUAACACUCUUGAAUGGGCAAUUUUCAUUAUCUCCUCUCGAUGUUCCACCUAAAACAUGUAGAGUGAUUUAACAUGAUGACCCGUUAACAAAAUGCACCAACAAUAAUUUUUAUUUAAAUAUUAUUUUUUAAAUAUCAAACUGGCCCUGUUUUAACCCACAAUUACAAAAUAAUUGAAUUGAAAAGACAAAUAUACCCUUUCACCCUAGUUUAAAAAAUCUUGACUUAAGGAUGUAAUUAAGUAAAUAAAUUGUUCAUUUGAAAAGUAGAAAACGGGCCGGCCCUUGUCUUGACCCAAUGAUUACCAAAAGACCAAAAAAAAAAAUUACGAGUAACCUUAAGAACACAGUUAAAAUAUAUUUGUUUUAAAGGGCAACAAAGUUAAUUCAUUAUGUUUUUUUAAUUAAAAAAUUAUAAUCACCCCUCAAUUGAAGCAAUUUUUAUUGCAUAUCAAGGGCAUCUGAGUCAUUACACUAUAUAAUAUAUAUAUAAAAAUACAUUCUAGAUCCUAAUCAAAUUAAUAAUGAUAGAUAUGUCCAAUUACAAUUGGACCCUGAAAAUAAUGUAAAUGAGUUUUUUAAGGUUAAAAUAAUAAAUAUACUAUUGUCGUCCACAUUUCUCUAAGUUUGUGUGCGCAGUAAAUUCAAAAUUUGUUUUAGUUUUUUUUAUGUAACUUUAUUUUUUUGUUAAUUUUUAAAUAUUUUUGAAUUCACACCUCUUUUAUUUAAUGAAACAGGCCGCAUACUAUUUUCAGAGAUCCGUUUAAGAGGGGCAAUAGCAUCCUUGUGAGUGCAAUUUUGUUCCCUUAUAUCUUUCCACUUGAUAUCGCCACCACAGCUUGAUCUCAUUCUCUCCGAUGUUGAUGUUUAUUGGAUUAGUCAUAUGUGAAGCUUAAACUCAAGAUGUUGUUGCUGAAGGGCUCUGGUAUUUUAUUUUAAUUUUAUCCUAAUCCACCCUUACUUUCUUCAUUCUUUUUUCUUAUAAGAUAACUGCAAAGUGUUUUAUAAUUAUGAUUAAUGAGCAAUCUGAUAAAAAAAACCAGGAAUGACCUUGAGCAAGAAUACAUCUAUUGGUUGGUCUCUUGGUGGUUAUCCUGGUCCUCCGGGACCAUACUACUGUGGUGUUGGUGUUGACGAAGCCUUCGGCAUUGUUGAUGCACAGUAGACGGCAUGCCUGUAUGCCGGUAUGAACAUUAGUGGUAUGAACGGAGAAGUGAUGUCGGGCGAGGUAAAAUAAAAGAACGAGCAUAUCCCCUCUACCAUUUUGAUCUUACAGUUCUAGUUUAGAACCAUUCUAAUCUUGUUCUGUCUUACAACGUUAAAGUGGAAAUUUCAUGCAGUGGAAAUUUCACGCUGGACCUUCAGUCGGUAUCUCUGUUGGAGAUGAAUUAUGGGCUGCAGCUCGGUACAUUCUGGAACUAUUCCCAUUUCUAUUGUUUUCUGAAAUGUCUAUAUUUAUGUUAACAGAGGAUUACUGAGGUUGCUGGAGUUGUGCUUUCAUUCGAUCCUAAGCCAACUCAGGUCAGUUUUUAUUUCAUCGUACCCUACUGGAUGCUGCCAGUGUGCAUGUUUUCAGUACUUUUAUUGUCUGAGCUCUCAGGAAAUUGGACUUCUGUUUUGUCAAGAAGAUUGGAAAGGAGCGGGGGCACACAAAAAUUACAGGUUCAAAUUUUUUUCGUUGAUUGAAGCUUAAUUUAUUUGCUUCUUUGUUCCACACUUGCUAUUUUUUUUUUAAUCUUAUACUUGAAAAUUCUUCACAUUUUCUGUGCUAUGUCUAUGAGAAAUGAAGGAGGCUGUGAAGUCAUCAAGAAAGCAGUUGAAAAGCUUGGUAUGAGGCAUAAAGAACAUAUCGCAGUCUAUGGCGAAAGGGAUUGAGCAGAGACUUGUUAAUUAUUUGGAGACAAACCAUGUCCCACCAUGUGCAAGUGGGAAUCCCCCACUUUGCACACGGUGGAGGCAACGGUGGACACAAAUGAUGAUGUCCUUCCCUCAUCCCUUGUAUAUGUAUAUGAGCUGUGUGUGUGCAUGUAUAACAGUGUGUGAAGAGAAGAAGAGAGAGUUGCAGUUGUGUGAAACACAAAGAGAAACACAUAGAGAGAGCUAGGGAGAGUUGAGUUGAGUUGAGAAGAAUUUUCUCAUCCUCCUUGUUUUGUUGUUUGUAUUGUUUGUAAGCUUGAUUAAUACAAACCAAUAGCUCCGUGGAGUAGGCAAGUUGCCGAACCACGUAAAUUGUGUGUGUUUGAGUUCUGGAAAUAUCCCAACAACUGGUAUCAGAGCUUGUUCUUGACGAAGAGGGUGUUUGAUCCAAACUCAAAAAUCAAUGUUCUCAAAACGUGUUUUUGACCAUACCAUCGUGUAGAGGACAACCGGACGAAUCCACUGGUGAAAACCCGGCGAAGAACCGACGUCCUGCAUGCCCGCACGCGCCACCGCACAGACGGCCCACGCGCAGCAACGCGCCUCACGCGCGACACGCUCCUUCUUCACCCGUUUUUCUGCAAAACGGGUCGGGUCUGACCCGCCACGUCAGCCAAGUCGCACGGUCAACGCCACGUCACCUGCCACGUCAUCCAUCUGGGUUUUGAUCUGGUGCACCGCAGAUGGUAAUCGUCUGACACGUGGCUGCAUCAUCACCGUCGAAGGGUUUGAUCCGGUGCGACUCAGGCUCUAAUCGGAGGACACGUGGACUAAUCUGCACCGUCACUGAGUUUUGAUCCGGUGCGACUAAAGGCUGUAAUCUGCUGACACGUGGCUUCAUCAGAACCGCUACUGAGUUUUUAUCCGGUGUGACGCAUGCCUUACUCUGUCUGACACGCGGCUGCAUCUGAACCGUCCGUUAAUCCAAAACUUUAAUUGCUAAAAUCUGAGCCAUCCAAAGUCCGAUUGGGGUGAUCUCAGUGUCAUUUCCAAGGUUUUUGGCCGUUCCGGACACAUCUGUAAGGUCAGAUUUGGCAAAUUCUAAUCAGAGAAAUAUUAAAAAUGGCAGAUGAAAUAAAGGCUGCAGGAAUUGAAAAAUUUGACGGAACAGAUUUUGGAUACUGGAAAAUGCAGAUUGAGGAUUAUUUAUAUGGGAAGAAACUUCAUCUUCCCUUAUUGGGAAGCAAACCAGAAAAGAUGGAAGAAGAAGAAUGGCAACUUCUUGAUAGACAAGUUCUGGGCAUUAUCCGGCUAUCGUUAUCAAGAAGAGUUGCUCACAAUGUUACGAAAGAAAAAUCCACUGCAAAAUUGAUGGAAGCCUUGUCUGGGAUGUAUGAGAAGCCAUCAGCAAAUAAUAAAGUGCACCUGAUGAAAAAGUUGUUCAACUUGAAGAUGGUCGAAAACGCUUCUGUGACACAACACCUCAACAACUUUAAUACCAUCACAAAUCAAUUAUCAUCUGUUGCGAUUGAGUUUGAUGAUGAGAUUCGUGCACUCAUCUUGCUAGCUUCACUUCCAAGCAGUUGGGAAGGCAUGAGGACAGCCGUGAGCAAUUCAGCUGGAAAAUCCAAACUGAAGUAUGAUGACAUUCGAGACUUGAUUUUGGCUGAAGAAGUGCGAAGGAAAGACUCGGGUGAAAGUUCAAGCUCAGGAUCAGCUCUCAACAUCAACACUCGAGGGAGGAGACACGAUAGAGGCUCAUCCAGAGGCAGAUCAAAAUCCAGAUACAGAAGUAAAAGCAAGUUUGGAUCCAGAAAGCAGGUUGAAUGUUGGAAUUGUGGCAAACCUGGUCAUUUCAGUAGGAAUUGCACAAAACCGAAGAAACCUGAAGUUGACUCUGCAAACGCUACCACAGAUGAGGUACAAGAUGCUUUAAUUCUUGCUGUGCAAAGUCAAAUUGAUGAGUGGAUUCUUGAUUCUGGUGCUUCAUUCCACUGUACGCCACACAAUGAAAUACUGCAAAAUUAUGUUGGAGGAGAUCAUGGUGUAGUCUAUCUGGCCGAUGGAACACCACUGAAGAUUGUGGGUAUAGGAGAUGUGCAAAUCAAGACAAUGAAUGGACCUUGUAGAAUGUAAGGCAUGUUCCUGAAUUAAAGAAGAAGUUGAUCUCUGUCGGACAACUUGAUGAUAGUGGUCAUUCAAUACUUUUUGCUGGAGGAAUGUGGAAAGUAUCAAAGGGAGCAAUGGUUUUAGCUCGUGGAAAGAAAACCGGCACCCUGUAUAUGACCACAAGAUUUGCAGACAUCAUUGCCUCAACUGAAGCAGAAAAUCAAGCACAUCUAUCGCAUUGUAGACUUGGCCAUAUGAGUCAAAAGGGGAUGAAGAUAUUUAGUCGAAGGGAAAGCUGCCAGAGUUAAAAAAUGUCGAUCUAGACAUUUGUGAAAGCUGUGUUCUUGGAAAACAGAAGAAGGUCAGUUUCUUGAAGGUUGGCAGGACCUUACGACCAAGAAAGCUAGAACUGGUACACACAGAUUUAUGGGGACCGUCUCCAGUAGCAUCUCUUGGAGGUUCUCGGUAUUAUGUGACUUUCAUUGAUGACUUCAGCAGGAAGGUAUGGGUUUACUUUCUGAAAAAUAAAUCUGAUGUGUUUGAAACAUUCAAGAAAUGGAAGGCUAUGGUUGAGACUGAAUCAGGUCUAAAGUUGAAAUGCUUGAGAUCUGAUAAUGGAGGAGAAUACAUUGAUGGAGGUUUCAAGGAGUAUUGUGCUGUCAAUGGUAUCAGAAUGGAAAAGACCGUUCCAGGCACACCGCAACAGAAUGGCGUUGCUGAACGGAUGAACAGGACCAUCAAUGAACGAGCUAGAAGCAUGAGGUUGCAUUCAGGGUUACCUCAAACAUUCUGGGCUGACGCAGUUCAUACCGCAGUUUACUUGAUCAACCGUGGACCAUCAGUUCCUUUGGAAUUCAGAUUGCCCGAGGAAGUAUGGAGAGGAAAAGAGGUACGACUCUCUCAUUUGAAGGUCUUUGGGUGUGUUUCCUAUGUUCACAUAGAUUCUGAUGCUCGCAACAAGUUAAGCCAAAUCCAAGAAAUGUUUCUUCAUUGGCUAUGGAGAUGAAGAAUUUGGAUUUCGGUUCUGGGAUGAUCAGAAUAGAAAGAUUAUCAGAAGCAGGAACGUGAUCUUCAAUGAGAAAGUUAUGUACAAAGACAGAUCAAGUGAGAAACAGAGAUGGCUGAUUCAGAUACAAGUCCACAAAGAUCUGAAUUCAUAAGAUUAGAAGGGCUUCCCGAUGUUACUAAGCAGAACAACAAUCAAGAGUCUUUACAAGAAGAUUCAAGCACAUCUGUGCCCACUUCCACACAAGAAGAUGCGGAGCAAUUGAACCAGCUGUUCGCAGGUCUUCGAGGACGAUAAAGCCCCCGCAACGGUUCACACUUUUACUGAAUUAUAUUUUGCUGACAGAUGGUGGUGAACCGUUACUUAUGAAGAAUCCUUACAAGAUGGAAACUCAAGCAAGUGGGAGUUAGCCAUGAAGGAUGAGAUGAGUUCGUUGCUGAAGAACAAGACUUGGGAGCUAACACAUUACCUGAAGGAAAGAAGGCCUUGCAAAAUAAGUGGGUUUACAGAGUGAAGACUGAGCAUGACGGAAGCAAACGGUUCAAGGCAAGACUUGUUGUCAAAGGGUUUCAACAAAGAAAGGCAUUGACUACUCUGAGAUUUUUUCUCCAGUUGUGAAGCUCACAACAAUCAGAGUUGUUCUGGGGAUAGUAGCUGCAGAAAAUUUACAUCUUGAACAGUUAGAUGUAAAAACAGCAUUCCUUCAUGGUGACUUGGAGGAAGAUAUUUACAUGCAACAGCCAGAGGGGUUUGCAAUGCAAGGAAAGGAGAAUCAAGUCUGCAAGCUACAGAAAAGCCUAUACGGUUUGAAGCAAGCUCCAAGACAGUGGUACAAGAAGUUUGACAACUUCAUGUGCAGUUCCGGGUAUACAAGAUGCCAAGCUGAUCAUUGUUGCUAUGUCAAACAUUUUGACAACUCCUACAUCAUUCUACUAUUAUAUGUAGAUGAUAUGUUGAUUGCAGGAUCCAGCAUUGAGGAGAUUGAUAAGCUGAAACAGCAGUUGUCGAAACAGUUUGAAAUGAAGGAUCUGGGAGCUGCUAAACAAAUACUUGGCAUGAGAAUCAUCAGAGAUAAAGACAAAGGCAUACUAAAGCUCUCACAAACAGAGUAUGUCAAGAAGGUUCUCAGCAGGUUUAGUAUGGAUAAUGCUAAACCAGUAAGUACACCACUGGGGAAUCAUUUCAAGCUCAGCAAAGAUCAGUCACCAAAACUGAGCUAGAAAGUGGAUACAUGGAUAAGAUUCCAUACGCCUCAGCUAUCGGCUCUUUGAUGUAUGCUAUGGUCUGUACCAGACCAGACAUUGCCCAUGCAGUGGGAGUUGUAAGCCGAUAUAUGAGCAAUCCUGGAAAGCAGCAUUGGGAGGGUGAAAUGGAUCAUGAGGUACUUAAAAGGUUCAUCGGAAACUUGUCUCAGUUUCACAGCUGGUGGUUUGAAACUUGAAGGUUUUGUAGAUGCUGAUCUAGCAGGAGAUGUUGAUAGCAGAAAGAGCACUACAGGAUAUGUUUAUACUCUAGGAGGUACUGCUGUUUCCUGGAGUUCUACCUUGCAAAAGAUCGUUGCUCUUUCAACAACAGAAGCUGAAUAUGUUGCAGUCUCAGAAUCUGCAAAAGAGAUAGUAUGGUUGCAGAGUUUCUUGAAAGAAUUGGGCAAGUUGAAUGGAAAAGGUACUUUGUAUAGCGACAGUCAGAGUGCAAUCUUCCUUGCCAAGAAUCCAGCAUUUCACUCCAGGACGAAGCAUAUUCAGAUCAAAUAUCACUUCAUCCGACAACUGCUGGACGACGAGCAACUAAUGCUAGAAAAGGUCUGUGGAAGCAAGAAUCCAGCAGACAUGUUAACCAAAGGAGUUACACUUGAGAAACUGAAGUUGUGCAAAACUUCAGUUGGCCUUCAAGGAUAAAAGAUAAUUUCAUUGUUUGUCUCCAAGUGGGAGAUUGUUAAUUAUUUGGAGACAAACCAUGUCCCACCAUGUGCAAGUGGGAAUCCCCCACUUUGCACAUGGUGGAGGACACAAAGUGGAGGCAACGGUGGACACAAAUGAUGAUGUCCUUCCCUCAUCCCUUGUAUAUGUAUAUGAGCUAUGUGUGUGCAUGUAUAACGGUGUGUGAAGAGAAGAAGAGAGAGUUGCAGUUGUGUGAAACACAGAGAGAAACACAUAGAGAGAGCUAGGGAGAGUUGAGUUGAGUUGAGAAGAAUUUUCUCCUCCUCCUUGUUUUGUUGUUUGUAUUGUUUGUAAGCUUGAUUAAUACAAACCAAUAGCUCCGUGGAGUAGGCAAGUUGCCGAACCACGUAAAUUGUGUGUGUUUGAGUUCUGGAAAUAUCCCAAGACUUACCGGACAGCGGCACGAAACAGAGGAUAUUAGUACUUUCAAUUGGGUAAGAGGGAAAAGAAACAAUUUCCUUGCUGCUUAAGUUCUUUUAUUAUAAGAUGUCUUACAUUAGUUUCUUUACAUCUUGUUCGAUUGACAAGGUUUUGCUAAUCGCAAAGCUUCCAUUUGUGUUGGCCGUGACAUAGAGAAAGAAGGAAAGGGGUAUUAUGAGGAAAUAAGGCCUGCUUCAAACAUGGAUCUAUAUCUUGCGACUUCCAUGAUUGUAGAAACCACCAUCCUGUGGAAGCCAUGAGAAUCUCAAGCAACACCUCAAACAAAAUAAUGUUGUUGGAAGUAGUACUUACAAGGAACCUUGGAAAGAUUUGUGUCAGUAGGAUGGAUAUCUUUCAAUUUGUUUCCAGUUGUAUUUGAGGCUGCAAGGGAUGUUAUUCCUUUGCUUGCUUGUCUUAUGAUUGAUUCGGCAUUUUGUGUUGAAUAAUGAAAUCUUAACUUUAAUCAUGUGAUGUUUUGUAUUAAAAAGAUUGGAAAAUAAAAUAAAGCCCUUGGAAGCUUAAAAAGAGGGUAUAAAUGAUUGAAGGGUAGUGUGGUAAUUGACCAAUAGUUGAUAAAUAUAAAUAAGAAAAAAAAAAAGAAUGAUAUGAUUUUGAGAGAAAGAGAGCUGCGGGAGAGAAAGGAAAAGAGGAAGAAGAAGAGAAGAAAAGAAAGGAGAGAAGGAAAGGAAGGAGAAGAGAAGUAGAUGAUAUAAGUAAAAAGGUAAGAUUUAUAGUUUUAAGUGUAUAAUAUGUUAAAUUUCGGUUUUGAUUAAUUUUGAGAGUUUUGAAGUUUGUAUUUUGAGUUAAUUGAUGAAUUAAUUUGAAGGUUAGGAGUUGAUUAUUGUGGGUAUUUGAUUAAUUAGUUGAUUUUGAGAGAUUGAAUUGAAGGAUAAUGAUUUUGAGUUAUGAUUUUGUUUAAAUGGGGAAAUUGUGUUAGAAAUCAGGGGAUAACAGUAGGUAAUCUGUUUAAAUUCUGGGUUUGAGGUUGAAGAUGACGAAAAUUCAAUUUGGUCCCUCAAUUUGCGGAAAUUGCAGUUUAGUCCCCGAACUUUGGAAAUUUUACAGAUUGGUCCCUGGGACAUAAAUUGAGGUUCUGAAAAGAACUGAGGAUGAUUUAAGGGCAAAAUUCCAGUAUAAUUAAUAUUUUCAGUUUGGUCCUCCAAUUUGACAAAUUACGAUUUGACCCCUAAUAUUUUGAUAAAAUCACAUUUUGGACCUUGGGGCAUAAUUCAAGAUUCUGGACAAAGAUAAGGACGAAUUAUGGAUAAAUUUCAGUAUGGAUAUAUAUUUACAAUUCGGUCCUCAAAUUUUGGUAAAAUUACGUUUUGGUCCCUGUUUUGGAAAAUUGUCGUUUUAGUCCCUAAACCUAGGAGAUUAAGCCCGGUUUUAUUUUAUGCAUUGGGAUCUUUUGUUUGAUUUUUUUUUGAGUAUAUUUCAUAUAUUUAUUGUACGUUCUCCUAACGAUCCUUAAUCGGAUUUUCUGGUCUUUUGCCUGACAUUCCUUUAGUUUAGUAUUUUCCGGGUGAGUGGAAUAAUAUUUAAUAUGCAUAUAAUAUAAAUAAAUAUGUAUGUUGAUUAUACAAUGAGUACAACUAGUAAAUUUAUUGAAUAUUUAUAUAUGUUGCUUUAUUUUCCGAGUACUCAUUUAUUCUUGAAUUUGCACUCGCAAUCUGAUAAAGUAAAUUCUAUUUGAUAUGAUAUACGUUUCUUUGAUGAUUCUGUGAAUAUCUAUUAUGCCUUGAUAUGGGACUUGUCAGUAACUCCAUGCUAAUGGAGAAUAGUUAGCAUGUGUGCACAUAGUAUUCUGUAUACCUAGCUGGUGAGAGAGGCAUCAGCCUAUGGCGAUUGAUCAUCCCACAGUGGUCACCGACGGGUGUCAUCUGGUCACCGACGGGUGUCAUCUGGUCACCUACGGGUGUCAUAUGAUCUCUGACAUGUAAUCCACUACGUUAUGAUAAUAUGUUACGUUAUGAUAUUAUGUUUAGUAAGUAUAUGUAUAUGUAUAUCACUACAAGAUUUUACAGUUUUACCGACGGAAAUAUUCCGUCGGUGUGUGACAGAACAUUCGUCGGUAAAGUAUUUACCGACUAUAUUACCGACGGAAUACACCCGUCGGAAUACCUUUUGUCGAUGAUUCCACAUUCCGUCGCCAUAUCGGUCGAUAAUACAAAAAAAACAUUUACCGAUGGUUUUACCGACGGACUGUGCGCGCCAAAAAAAAAAAAAGUUUCCCGCUUGGAAUAUACCGACGGAAAAUAUUCCGUCGGUGUUAUGUAAAUACCGACGGACUAUCUCCGUCGGCAAAAGUGUCGGUGAUAUUUCGUACCGACCGAAUAAAUCCGUUUGUAAAUUUGUCGGUAUUUUUAUACCGACGGAUUAUCUCUGUCGGUGAAUAUGUCGGUGAUGGGAUGGAAUACCGCAGACACUGUCCAAUGCCGACGGAUUGUUUCCGUCGGUAAAUCCCUGUGUAAUUUUUUUUUUAAUUAUUUAAAAAAAAUAAUAUAAAUUAAUAGUAAUACAAACCAAUUAUGCAAAUAAAAUUUAUAUUAAGCAACAAAAACUCAAAGUUAAAUAAUAUUCAUUACAAAAUGAAUGUGUUUAAAAAAAAACAAUUAAUAUAAAGGAGGAGGAGGAGGGUGGGGGUUAGGCGGCCAAAAAGGAUUAGGCGCACAUGUUCCACCUUGUGUCAUGUUCAUGACCAUUUGACGAAGCUCUUCAUAGGCCGCUCUUUGUUGUUCAGACUCUGCUCUGCGUUGUUCGUCCGCCAAUUUGUGUUGUUCGUUCGCCAAUCUUUGCUCUUCUUUGAGUUGUGUGUACGCCUCUGAUAGAUGGUCGCACCUUUGCUGCAAGGCCACAAACUCCUUAGAUUGGGAGCUCGAUACAGAUUGGGAGCUCCCACCGGUUGAAGCAGUACCGGUCGACCGCAACUUGGCGGCGGUAGUGUUGGAGAGCCCGUAAACCCGAUUUUUAUCGGGUCCACCUGACGAUCCAGCCUCCAUCCACAAAUCCGGAUCGAAUUCCGGAUGGUUCGAAGGAUCGUCCCCGUAUCUCUCCCUCAACCGAUUAUUAUAGGUCUCCUGAAAAAAAACAAAACAAAUAAUCAUAUUCAAUUCAAUAAACAUGAUAAUAACUUAUAAAAUAAAAUGGUUGAACAAACACACCACAAACUGUUGAGCACGGUUGUCAACGAACUGUUGCGUCCCCUUUUGGCGGUCAUGACUCCGCACGUACGUCUCCACAAACAGCUCCAUAGGGCUCGGCUCACGUCCAAGAGACGUAGCCUAUAUAUAAUGAAAAAAAUGUAUUAACAACAAAUUAAUUGAACGAUAUAUUUCAUUUAAAUUAAUCUUACCAUCCAUUUCGCAUGUGCAGCAAACGGAGCCGUCGGUGUGCGUUGUAACCGAGCCAUGAAUUUGCCGAUUCCGGUUGUCGGCACCGGACUGUGAGCGUCGAGUGAACCGCUCAGACGUCACGUGCUGAAGAUAGUGCGGCCAUAUAUCUUCCGGGAUGUAUAUUGGUUUGAAAUCCCUCCAAACCGCAACAUCGUUCCAACCUUGUAACCCCUUAUCCCUCGCUGUUUUUUUUGCUUUUUUCUGGGCGUCAUACCAAAAAUCACGCAACCUAAUUCACGCACGAAAAAAUUACAUUUCGAAACAUAAAUAAUUAUGUAAAAAAAAGUCGUAUUGUUUUCGAUGUUACCUAAUUGCCGCGUGAUUUUCCCACACCCUCCUCACAACAGUGUCAUGUUCAUCAUCCCAGCAGAAUCGAUGUUGUAUAUAAAAAAAUAAUUUUUUAAAAUGUUAAUAAUUUAUUUACAAUUAUAACUUGAAUUUAUUAGAAAUAAGCUGAAAAUUAUAUAUUAACACGAACCUCAAAUCUACGAAACCAUGUAUUGAUUUGAGGCAUCCAUUCAGGAUGUCUGGAUAUAUGACUCCAUUGAAACAAUGGAAUCUCCAUCGACGCUUUAAACGCCGAUGAUAUUAAUCGGGCGACCUCAAUGUUUGUGAACCUGAAAAGAAAUGAAAUUAAUUUGUGAUUACUUCAUAAAUUAUGUUUUAAAUUUGUUUUUUUUUAUAUAAAAAAAACUAAAACCUUAACAAACUUACAUUGAAAGAUCGUCCUUCCACUGUGCCUCGAACUGGUGGGUAAAUUGAUUCCGCUUCGAAGGCAUGCCGCGUCUGCGAUGUGAAACAUCGCUGGAAGAGGCAGCAUCGGUUGACGGCCCAGGUGGUGUAGGUGCCUCUUCUUGAGAGGCACCUAAGGAAACAUCAUCAUCGCUGCUAGACGAACUUGAUUCGACUGGACGACCAGCUCUGGUUUUCAUUUUGCGCAUCUAAACAAUUUUAUAUUAAUAAUUGUAUAAUAAAAUUCAAAAGUUAAAAAAAAAUCGGCAGCACCUCCCCUAUACUGGAUACUACCCAAAUCCACAAACCUGCAAAUAUUAACAAUAGCCACAACCAAUCGAACCAAUCUAUAUGACAAAAAAUAUAUUCAAUAAUUAUAUUCAAAACAAUAAAAAAUAUGACAAAAAAUAAAUUCAAUAAAUUCAACAAAUUAUAAUUCAACAAAUUAAUCAUUUUAAUUCAACAUUAACAAUUAUAAUUCAACAAAUUAAUCAAUAAUUAUAUUCAAAACAAUAAAAAAUAUGACAAAAAAUAAAUUCAAUAAAUUCAACAAAUUAUAAUUCAACAAAUUAAUCAUUACAAUUCAACAUUAACAAUUAUAAUUCAACAAAUUAAUCAUUAUAAUUAUGACAACAAAACAAUAAAAAAUAUUCAAAAAAAAAAACCUACAUCAAUAAAAGGAACGAAAUAAACAUACCUUAAUAAUGUGACAAAUUCAAUCACCGAUGGAAUUAAUAUCCGUCGGUAAAAGGUAAAAAUUCCGUCGGUAACAGGUCAAAAAUCCGUCGGUAUUUUUUGAAUUUCGCCCCGAAUUUUUAAAAGCCCUCCAUAUUUUUCACAGUCCGUCGGUGAUUCCGUCGGUAAUCUGACAAGUUCAGAGGCGCAUUAAUUCACACACUUUGGAAAUCGCGCGGUCCGUCGGUAUUUCUGUCGGUAAUAUGUGUGACCGACAAAUUACCGACGGACCUAUUCUGUCGGUGAACCCGUCGGUGAUUGUGGCAUUUUGUUCUAAAUAUUUUCGAGCUUACUGUGAGAUGCCGACGGAAUGGUUGUCCGUCGGUAAUGUCGUCGGUGAGUGUGGCAUUUUAUUGUAAAUAUUUUAGAACUCUCUGUGAGAUACCGACGGAUGGUUGUCCGUCGGUAUUGACGUCGGUGAUUGUGGCAUUUUGUUGUAAAUAUUUUUGAACUCUCUGUGAUAUACCGACGGAUGGUUGUCCGUCGGUAUGGACGUCGGUGAUUGUGGCAUUUUGCAGGAAAGGUUGUCUUUGUAUUGCAUGUUUACCUUCCUGCAAUAACUUAACUGAUAAACUGUCUAUCACAUAAAACAAUAACCACAUUGCUUAAACAAUAAAUAUUUUGUUUUACAAAAUACAUCAUCAAUAAUCUAAAUUACAUGAGACAAAUGUUUUUACAUAGGGCUUCAUUUUCAUAAUUAGUCGGAAUUUUCUUCUUCUUCCUCGUCAAUUGAAUUGUCAUCAUCUUCAUCGCAAUCUUCAAUAUGGAUAUCAUCUUCUUCAUCGACAUUUGCUUGUUCGCUAGAGCUGAGAACAACAUUCAACUCCUCUCCGUCAAUAUCAACAAGACUAUCAUCGAGAACUCGAAAAUUUGAAUUUUCUUCCAAUUCAAUCGAAGGAGCAACUCGAUAUGGUUCAACCAACUCACGAACUUGAAAGACUUCAUCUCGCACACUUGUGUCUUCGUUCUCAUCCUGAACAACCUCGACACGACCCCGUGGUUUCGUUUUUAAAACGGACAACCAAUCAACUCUUGAACGAUCCUUUCUAAAUGAAGGGGUGUAUGUGUAAUAAAUUUGUUGACAUUGCUUUGCGAAAACAAAGACAUCAUUUAUGUUGCGGAGUCUAGCUUUUGAGUUGAUUUCGACCAGACCAUGGUGCAGAUCAACUUUGAUUCCUCAGUUCGUCGUGUCAUACCAAUAGCAUUUGAAUAAAAACACUUUAUUCUGCUCGCUAUGAUAUUGCAGUUCGACGACCUCUUCUAAUCUACCAUAGUAGUCAACUUCUAACUGGCUACUUGUGGAUCCCUUAACACAAACACCGCAGUUGUAUGUCUUUCUUCCUUGCCCGUAUUCUUCAGUAUGGAAAACAUAUCCAUUGACAAAAUACCCGUUGUAGCACUUAACUUUUCUUUCAGGGCCGAGGCUUAGUGAAGACAAUGACUUGGGCGCACUCCUUCCCAUUUGAUAAACCUUGUAAAUAUAUGUAAUUAAAUGUACAUCAAUACACGGUAAAUGAACGAGAAUCUCGUAAUGACAUGCAUACGUUAGAAUGAGUUUGUGAUAGUGCUUACAUGUGUUCUGAACCAUGUGGCAAAUUGUUCAUCUUGUAAUUGAAAGAUCUGGGAUUCGGUCAGCUGCGAGUUAUUGGAGAGCAAAUAUUGUCGAUGUUGCCUGCAAGUGAUAAUGAGUGUAUGAUAUUACAAUAUAUAAUUAACAGUAUAUUACUGACAAAGUUUAAUUAGUAUUACACAUAUAUAGACUUACUGAAUAAAUGGUCUCAGCUCAUCACAGUUAAAUAGAACAUAGUUGUGUGCUUGUUUGAAUUCUAUUUCCGACAAAUAUCUUCCUCUUACGGCAUUUUUAGGUGUGGGUCGUCCAGUAUUGGAGAAUAUUGACAAGUUCCCACUGGAAGGCACUUCACCGCCAUCGUCAUGCCGUGGAACGCGAUUGAUUCUUGUUCUCAGAUGAGGUUCGAAAUAGUACGAGAUAAAUGUUGAUAUCUCUUCAACAAUAUAGGCCUCAGAUAUCGAAGCCUCAACAUGCGCCUUGUUCUUAACCUUUUUUUUUAGAUUAAACAAGUACCUGCAUUGAAGUACAAUUCAAGUAUUUUCAAAUAAGAAAAACAUAGAAAAUACUUUAAGAUAUGAAUUCCAUUGCAACUGUAAUAUCUCACCGUUCGAAUGGGUACAUCCAUCUAUACUGGACCGGUCCUCCAGCUUUUGCCUCGAACGGUAGAUGUAUAGGGAGAUGCUCCAUUGAGUCAAAAAAUGAAGGAGGGAAUAUCAUCUCAAGUUUGCAUAGUGUCUCGAUGAUAUUCGUUUGAAGCAUCUCAAUGUGCUCAACAUUCAUCUUGCUGGAGCAUAUAUCUCUGAAGAAAUGACUGAUCUCCGUUAGUGCAUCCCAUAUUCCCUUUGGCAACAAAUCACGAAAAGCUAAUGGGAUGAGUGUUUGCAUAAACACGUGGCAGUCAUGGCUCUUCAUUCCAUACAAUCUGCAGUCCUCUAUGUUAACAAGCCUUGAUAUGUUCGAUGCAUGUCCAUCCGGGAAACGCAGACUCUUAAGCCAUUUGUAGACUAGCAGUUGUGCGUUUUUCUCUAACACGAAGCUUGCCCUUGGUUUUGCAACCCGUGACUCGUCAUAAACCAACUCCAUAUUUUUACGGUUACAGUAUAAAGCUAUAUCCAAUCUAGCCUUCAUGUUGUCCUUUGUCUUCCCCUUCACAUCCAUGACGGUGUUGAAAAUAUUCUCAAACACGUUCUUUUCGAUGUGCAUGACGUCAAGGUUAUGGCGGAGAAGAUUAGUCUUCCAAUACGGAAGCUCCCAAAAGAUACUUCGCUUUACCCAAUUAUGGGUCAAACCAAAACCAGGAAACUUUUGCUUACCUGAUUGAAGGCCAAACACAAUGUCACCGUACUCUGAUACAACAUGAUGCAAUUCUUCACCAGAAAGACGCGGGGAUGCAACAUCUUUUUCAACUCUACCAACAAAGAAAUCUUUUCUGUUCUUUCUGAACCUGUGAUUAAGUGGCAAGAAGCGACGGUGACAGUCAAAAAAAGAAGCUUUACCUCCGUUUGCUAGCGUGAAUGCCUUGUUGUUUUCCAUGCAGUAUGGACAUGCGAGUUUCCCAUGCGUGCUCCAACCAGAAAGCAUUCCAUAAGCUGGAAAAUCACUGAUAGUCCACAUCAAAGCCGCCCUCAUAAGGAAAUUUUGUUUCCUCGAUAUAUCAUAAGUCAGAGAUCCGGAGGACCACAACUGCGCCAGCUCAUCUAUCAACGGUCGAAGACAAACAUCUAUAUUCCGCCCCGGGCUGCUUGGACCGGGUAUGACAGUAGAUAGAAACAUGAACUCCGGCCUCAUACACAUUCCCGGUGGCAAGUUAUAAACUGUGAGAAUGACCGGCCAACAAGAAUAGGGAGCAGCAAAUGACCCAAAUGGGUUGAACCCGUCUGUACACAACCCAAGUCGAACAUUCCUUGAUUCAGCAGAAAAGUCAGGAUGAACACUGUUAAAGCGUUUCCACGCUUCGCCGUCAGAAGGAUGCACCAUCACACCAUCAACGACAUCGUGUGUUUGGUGCCAUGUCAUGUGCUCAGCAGUCCUUGGUGACAUAAAUAACCUCUGCAGUCUAGGUGUGAUCGGAAAUAUCUAAGUUUUUUAUGCCACUAGAGUCUUCCCCCUGCCAGUUCUGGGUUUGUAACGGGAAUGCCCGCAUGUCAUGCACUCGGUCAUCUCAGCAUUUUCAAGGUAGUAUAACAUGCAGAAGUUAGGGCACAUGUCAAUUUUCUGGUAUCCUAAACCGAGGGGUUUCAUCAUGGACUUCGCAGCAUAGAAGUUCUCUUUGAGCCUGUUCCCUUCUGGUAAAAUGCUUCUUGCCCAAUCAAUAAUUUUGUCAUACCCGGCCUCACUCAACCCGUGAUCUGACUUGAUGGUGAACACCUGUGCCACGCCGAUAAUUUACUGUGGUUUGUGCAGCCAUCCCAUAAUGGUUCGUCAGAAUCUUUCAACAAAUCAAAAAACCUAGCUGCCUCUGCAUUAGGUUCUUCUUCUACGAUUGGACAUUGAUUGACAUUAUCUUGAUUCAUUCUCAUUGCAUCCAUAACCAUGUUUCUGUAAGGAUUAGUGUUGUCAUUUGCCGCUUCAUGCACGUUGCUAGCACUAGAAGUUGACCCAACCACCGUUUCUCCCAUUCUCCUAUUACUAACAAAUACCUCUCCAUGUGCAUACCAACACUCGUAAUCCUCCACAAACUCUUUAUGUAGAAGAUGCAUCAUUACAACAUCUAGAUGCAGAUACUUUUUAUUUUGACACUUCCUGCAUGGACACCUAAUACCGCCUCCAGUAAAAUUUCUGGGAAUAGAUGUUGCGAAAUUAAUAAAACCCUGAACCCCGUUACAAUAAUCCAUCAUCUGCAAUCCUUGGGGUGAAUCUAGAUACAUCCAUGAACGAUCAUCCAUGACUUCUAUCGAACCUCUAUAAAAAGGACCCAUUAAUUAAGCAAGCUCUUAAUUAUUUCAAAACAUAACAUGUAAUUCGGUAAUUCUACAAAUUAAGUUUUAACAAUUUUCAAACAAAUACAAUCUUACAAAAUCUAAAACAAACCAUAACAAGUAUAAAAUUAUACAUUCAUAUACUACAAGUUUGUUUGAGAAAUAACAAUAAAACAUGUACAUCUACUAAAAAAUAAUAAUACAUAUACUAAAAAAAAAAUUUGACAUUUAAAUGUUAAAAUUUUAAAAGAUAGAAUUACUUACAAAAAAUGAUAAAAUCCGUCGGUAAAUCAGAACACGGAUGCUGUGACCACAAAACAAAUACAACUUGUUGUGCUGAGAUGAGGAAGAUUUUUGUUUUGGGGCGAGGGGGGUGGUUAUUUUGCAGAUGGGGAGGGUUAGGAUUAGGAAGAAGAAGGAGAAAUGGGGGAGGAGAGUGUCGGCAGAGUGGCCAUAUAUUCACUUUUGCUGACGGACUUACCGACGGUUUGGAUUCCGUCGGUGAAUCCGUCGGCAAAACCGUCGGUAAUUCUGACGGGCAAUCGACACGUCACCGCACGGACCUGCUAUUCAAAUCCCUCGGUGAUUCCGUCGGUAUUUUUAACGGUGCACCGGUCACGUCACCGGUACGGAUCUGGCAUUUCAAAUCCGUCGGUGAUUCCGUCGGUAUUUUUUGACGGUGAACAGGUCCCAUCACGCGUACGGGCCCCAGUUUUAAUUCCGUCGGUGAUUCCGAAAAUCACCCGCCAAAACCUCGCGCCACUGCCCGCCCUUUUUUCAUUAAUUCUGAAUUUUCGGUCGGUAAUUACCGACGGAUAGUCCGUCGUAAUUACCGACCGAAUUACCGACGAAAUAUUCCGUCGGUGAGUUCGACCGAAAAAUACCGACAGAAAAAAUUCUGUCGGUGAGUCCGUUGGUAUUUAGCGAAUUUCUGGUAGUGUAUGUAAAUCAAGAUAAAUCAUCUUGCAAAUAAUAUUAUUAAUAUCUGAAAUGUAUAUUAAAUGUUAUUCCCUCACUGAGUUGGUUGAACUCACCUCUCAUUUUUAAUAUUAUUUCAGGUUCUUAGUUUCUGGGACUUUGUUGAGUGUUUCCGCUUCUUCAGUUCUGGUCGGUAUGCCUUGCUUGUUCGCGAGGCUUUCCUUUUAGUUUUGAUUUGAUAUCUUAGACGCUCCACUGUUACCUUGGUUUAAUUAAAUUUGGAUUUUGACAAUGUAAUGAGUAUUAUGAAUUAUUAUUUUUGUUUUAAUAACUAUCUUUCGGUUUCAUCAGUAUUUGAAUAAUAUAAUAUUUCUGAAUAUUAUGAGCCGCUGCGUAUUUUUGAACAAAUUAUUCUUUUGAUAUGUCCGUUCUGAGGCUUAGCCUAGGUGAGGUGUCCUUUCGACACCACUCCUACGUUGCCGGUCACGAAUCCGGGAUUCGGGUCGUGACAAAUCACCUUAUGGAUACCCAGAUUUCCAGUGCCUGGAAAUGGUUUAAAAAGAUUUUGUUUUGAGGUAAUGCAAAUCACAUCUCUAGUUGUUACUGGAUUUAAUAAAGUUACUUUAUACAGUUGAAAUUACUCGCUGCUUUCCUCUUGAAUCAUUAAUCCUAAAUGAUUAAUCAUGGAUAGUUUAAUAUAUCAGUGAAACUAGAUCAUUGACCGAGCUCGUACAGGCUAUACUAAAAAUUUUAUAAACAAAAAAAUAUGUAAGGAUUGAUAAUGUAUUUUUUUGUCAAACCGAAAUGUAAAACCAAAGGGGAAAAAAAUAAAAAAAAUUUAUUCAUUUUUCUUCCUAUUACGUUGAGCACCCUUAAAGUAAUCUGCAAUUGUCAAAGAACCUGAAUACAUAAUAUGAUUUCAGAACUCGUAUCUGUGUCCCAUGAACCCAUGGUUAUAAAUUUCAACGUUAGCAAAAAUUAUAUUCAAUUAUUAUUUUUUAAAUAUAUAAGUUUGAUAGUGAUUUUAUAUUUUAUUCUACACUAGCACGCGGGUUUGGCAAGCGCCGGAAAAAUCAAGGUGGAAUGUUAAGCGUGCUCCUGUAAUUCGGUAAUAAUUUUAGUUAAGCUCUCUAAUUAUUUACUUGUAAUUACAGUAAUUUUGUUUUCCUAAUUACCUGCUCUCUUCUAGUGCUUCUGAUUGAAAUUGAGUUAGGAGUUGAAGACCCUUAAGUGCAUUGGAUUGCCCAUCUAGAAGUUGUUUCUGUUUAUCCAAAGACUUCCCAGCCAUGUUCUCAAUGUCAUCAGCUGUGUUUUGUAAAGUUUCCAUCUUUGAAGACAUUGUGUCUCCAACUCUGCCAAUCUGCUUCUCUAUUUCCACAGCUUCGUUUCUCACAUUGUCUACUUCUUGGCCCAGAUUGGUGUAAGCAUCAUGAAGCAUCGACAUCCCUUCCUUCAAAUUGUCAUUCAUUUUUGCUUGUCCCUCUUGCAGCUCUGAUUGAGAAUGUGCAAUUUCCUUGGAAUGCUUAUAAACAGCUUCAGAGUGCUUAGAUAAAACAUCCAUGUGAUCCUUUGCAUCUUUCGUUGUUUGAGCUACAUUUUCAACCUGAAUAUCAAUAGAACUCAAUGAAUCCUGAAUUUGAUUCGAUCUCUGCAACAGGACAUGUGUUUUUCCUCCAAUAAUUUCUAACUGUUCUUCCGUGUAUUCUGCUGAAUUUUUAAGAUCAUUCACCAGUCUCUCCAUUUUAUGGUUGAAGGCAUGGGCCCUGUAGGCAAUAGCACAUAAAAAAAUCCUUGUUAGUUUCUGUCACAUCGUAUAAAACAAGAGAAGAACGGUCAGAACAGUGAAAGAAACUAUACUUAACUGUCACUGAUAGCAGAUAGAAUUGGUUUCCAGUGAGAAUUCAAGAUAAACCUUGUGCUCAUUGUCAUUCAACCUUUUGAGACAAUUAACCAUGGCAGAUUUUGUGUCACAAUAAGGGAAAGCUGGCCGUCCAGAGUCCUUUUGAAAGCAAUCACUAAGGUGCCAAGCAAAUCUCCACCGCUUCUCCUCGACGGCGAGAAUCUGCGAGCAGCCGGCAAAGAGAUUCUGGUAAGCAUUCUGCCAACAAGAAUUCGUGCCAACCAUUUUACUUUCGGCUUUUUCGACCAGUUUCAUCCCCUUCCCAUCACUAAGACCAUUCAUAGAAAAUUCCACCACAGAACCACGGGGCAAACCGUUUGUCUGUGAAUUAUCAUGGAGAGAGUCUCUGUUGAAGAAGAGAACCAACCCCAUGAUUGACAUCUUAAUGUAAGUGAGAUUAAAAUUACGAGAAACAAAAUCUGACUAUAAGAACCCAUUAAUUAUAUCUUUUCUUCCUGAUUUUGUUACUCUACUUUCUGUAUCUUCCACCAGAAGACUGAAACCUGCAGUACACAGUAUAACAAAUUAGCAGAUGCUUCCAAUGCUAAAGGCAUAUACACAAGUCUUGUAUUUAUGUAUAAACAAAGAGGUGGAGAAACUUGGAGUGCAAGAAAAGGAAAAGGCACGAUUUUAGCAUGAAAAGGACUGUUUGAAAGUGAAAUUAAAAGUGUAGAAAAUAGAAAAGAGACAGAGACUUCCAAAGAUUAAAAAGAAAAGAAAAGAAAAGUAGAAAUGGUCAAAUAGUCUCUUAAAACAUUCUACGAUAUUCCAAUAAUCAAAGAUGAGAUAACUUCAAGAAUUCUAAGGAAAUCAAAACAGGACAUAGUGUCAUAUCUUCCCAUUAAAUUAGCAGCAUAUCAACUAUUUUAAGAAAAUUAAGUCAAAAUUAAGAAAAUUCUUUAAAAUCAUAACCGUUUCAAUUAACCGUUUCUUUGUUUUCUCUCUUUUUUCUAAUUUCCUUUUACAAUUAAUUACUUAUAUGAUGGAUUAACAAAUGGAAAGAAAGAAACCAUAAGUAGCAAAAAGGGAUCCCCUCUUUAUCUUCUAUCACUUGAUUUCUUUUCUUAACUUCUUCUCCAGCUACCCCUCCCUCCUUUUCUCAUAUACAAAGCUUCUGCUACCUUUUUUAUCCUUUAAAAAACCAAAAAGCGGGCCAUGUUCAUGUUUAAAGUUUUGAUACGAUUAUCCUUGGAGCCUUAACCUGAAUUAUACGUAAAAAACGAAGAAAUUAAAGAAAGUCCUUGAAUGAGAGAGAGAGAGAGAGAGAUGGUGAGAGCAUACAUACUUGUUUGUGAAUGCUCACCGGGUGGGGGUGGGGGUGGGGGUGGUAUUAAGAGGAUAUAUAUAUAUAUAUAAAGUGAAGUGAAGAGACAUGAUGCUUUGAUUAAUUUGGAAAAUUAAUGAUGUUUCGAAAAGUCACUUUCCAUGACCGACAUUAAUCUUUCCUUUCCAUGUUACACCAGGUUUUAUAUUUUUUCCUUUUACGUUUAAUUCGUUUUCAAAAUUAACCCAAGAUUUCAGAACGUUGCAAUAUUAAACCUCAACGUCACAAAUGAUCUACUGUAAUUUAAUUUUAAGGCCUGAUUAAAUACCCAAGUUAUUAAAACACACUUGUUCCCAGCAGAACACAAUGUUUAAGGGGGAGAGAGAUCAUCUUGCAUGCAUAAAAUCGAAGACGUGUACUGUAACAGAUAUAUUGUUGUGUUGCAAACAGAUUUCAAGGUUCUAUAUAAAUCCAAGAACUUUUUAUGCACCAACUGAUGAUAUAAUUAUAAGUUAGAGUAAUUAUUGAAACCCUCCCAUAAUUAUUGGAUUUUGUUCCUUAACUUCCACCUAACGGAUUCAUCAUUCUGCUACUUCCAAAUCCAUUCAAGAAAUCUCAAAAGUCCAUUUGAAAUGAACAAAGGAUGCAUUAACCGGUUGAGAUGAAAAUCUCUCAACUAGAAUGAAAAGAUCCUUAUACCUCCAAGGUCUGAUAUGCGGUUUAUUCCUACCACCUGUAUUACCAGAAUGGAAUGCGCUAGUUCUAAGAUGCAGAGUCUGUGUUCGAACAAUGAUUUAUGGAAGCACAGGUACGUGGAGGAGCUUGGAAAUGCGUCCGAAACACAAAGUUUUGGCAACUGGAAAACUAGAUCAAUUCUCUAGAUAUCGAUGUUUUCUGCUAGAUCUUAUGGCAGCAUGAAGUCCACUAAUUUUGUCUGUGAUUGUAACUAUUUGGAUUGUUAAUUUUUUUAAAAAAAGUUUAUGUUCAUAAAUCGCCGGUCUUGCAAAUUGAUAAACCUUUGUUCGAAUGAUAUCGUAGAUUAAAAGGCUUAAAGGAAAUCUUUGUUUGUGUUGCAUAUAUUAAGAGAGUUCUUGAUGCCGGACAAAGAGAGAUUUGAAGAGAAGGGGAGAAGGGAGAGAAAGAACGAAGAGGAGAAGAAGCUGGGAAGAAGAGGAGGAGAGGAGAGAAGGGAAGGGAAGAGGAGAAUUGAACACUACAUUUUUUCUUUAAUUCAUCUAUAAACUGAUAAAUCAAAUAAAGCCCAAUCAAAUAGGUUUAAAGCCGAAACAGAGGGGUGGAACGGGAGUGUCUAAUGAAAGAAAACUCUAUAAGGUCGCGUGGAAUACUCUUUCAAAUCCAAAACAGAUGGAUGGAACUGGUUUGGGUUCUCGCAGAAGGUUUCGGUCUUGGGGUGAUUGCUUUUCCAAAUUUGCACCAAUCAGUUCUGCAUCAGCUAGCAAUGAUUUCGAAAAUGGGAGCUUGACAAGCUUCAGAGUGGACCAGGGCUUUAUCCAUGAGAGAAAGAGGAUGAAACUCGUCCUCAAUCAAUGCUUUCAGCACCAUAUUUACACCAAGAUAGGGUGGUUAUACUGUGAAAUCUUGUAGCGCAGUUGUGGCUGGGUUUUUGCUUCCAUGUCAGACCAUGAACAUCCCCAAUGUAUGGAAACCUACCGCUCUCCCAAAGGUAGAAUUCUUCACUUGGCUGGCUGUUCUUGAUAGACUGAACACAAAGGUAGAAAAUGUAUGUUGCUGCUGUCAAACUGAGGAAGAAUCACUCCACCAUCUACUACAACACUGCCAGCAAGUUUGGAGGAUUUGGAAUCAUGCAUGUGUUCAGUUGGCGAGGAUCAACUUAUACCCUUCCUAAAUCAGCAAGUGGUUUGUUUCAGCAAUGAAGGUUCUUUGCAAGAGGUGGAAAACAAGGUAUUUCCCACAUGAUUUUCUCUCUUUCUUCAUUUUGAUAUUUCAAUUAUUAAAAUAAAGUAAUAAUAUUACUCACACAAUACCAUAAAAUUCAUCGGAAUUUAAAAUUUUUAAUUUAGAAAUUUUGGCCAUGCAUGGUCUACAACCGUGAAAGAGGUCCCAGAAAAACACGAGUCCAAAGCUACUUGGACUUCUCCAUAAAUCAAGUGGAAAAUUGAUAGAUCAGCAGGAAAACUAACGUAGCAUUUCGUUAAAAAUAAACUCUAUUUUCGGCUAUUCCUCAAACAGUGUUUUAAGAUUGUAAGGCUUCACGAUGUCAAGACUUCCACUCCACAUUAGCUUCGCAAAUUGAUUGUUGGCACUCUCAGUUGGAUGAGCCGGAUCAAAGAAGAAAUAUUCACUUGCAUUGUCGCAUAAUUGAUAUCCUUUCUGACCACAAGUAGGGAAGCUUCUGUAAGGACCACUGCCACAACAUGCCUCUUGAACCUCCUUGAAACCUUCAUAUAUAGAGAAAUCACAUUUAAAUUCAUAACAAGGACAGGAAAUCUAUAUAGGGACCUUGAUUUUAAUUAUUUAAUACUUAUAGACAGGCAUUACCAUAUUUUUAUUAAUUCUCUCCCUUCCUGCAACAUAGGCAUCAAAAAUUGAGUAUCUAAAUCCUUCUAGUUGUCCCUCAAGCUCUUUGAGUGCUUUAGGGAGUGCUCUGUUGUGUAGUUUUGCAAACAUUGUAGCUUCAUCCAAGCAACCUGACACCCCUGUUCUUUCCUGUUUAGCUGCUCUCAAGGAUGGUAGACAACCCAAAGCAAUCAACGUUGACAAUCCAAAUUUCCUUCCUCCUAUCUUGUAUAUUUCCUGGAACAGUACAAUUACGCAAUCAUAAUCCAAGAUCAACUUGGAAAGAAGAGAAAGAAUGGUUCUUUAGCAUGCUAAAUUACUUGGAUCACUGUUGUUAUAUUGCCAAUAACCAUCCCAACAUACUCUUCUCUUGAAUAUAAUUGAAGCAAACUGUGCGUUGGUGUUAGAGCUGCAAAGUAGUCAUUGCCUCCAAUGCUGAACAUGUAAACUGCUGUGGACAGCAAGUUUUUAGCUUCUGCUUCACCUAGUUGAAGCCUUAACUGCCUUUUCAUAUGCUUGAAAUAGCUUAGUUGAGUGCUAAGGUUUAUCACCUUCAAAGAAAAGGGGAAAAAAUGAAAAACCGAAAAAAAAAAAAAACAGUUAUGGAACAUAUCUAAGACAGUAAACUUUGUGUUCUUGACAUACCCAUCCAUGAUGAGUUUCAACAAGAGCACCAGCUCCAGAUGAUGCAAAGUUCACUCCAUUUAUAAAUCGAUGAUUACUGGAUUGUAGAUGUUGUUGUAUUUCAGAGCUUAUCACCUUGAAAACAAUCAUUGAAUCUCAUUAUUCCUUUAGAAGAUUUAAGAGAGAUCUCGAGUUUAAUUAAUUUAUAAAAAGACGAAAAGUGGUGGGGAUCAAUAACAUUGAAGACCCCACCAAGAAAAAACAACAUCAUGAUGACAGACAUACCAUUCCUUGGAGAUUUUCAGCGAGAACAAGAUCCCCUUUUGACUCAAAGUUUUCUCCAUCCAUAAAUUGAUGGUUACCAGGUUGUAGAUAUGGCGGAAUUAAAGGUAAAUUUGCAUAUUGAGCUGUCACAAAACAUUUCAUAAAAAUAAGAAAAGAAAGAACAAAAAAGAAUGAAUUAAAGUGCUCUUAACUGUAAUGAUCUUACCAAUAAAAUCUGGAAUUAAUCGACCAUCACAAGGCCUUCCUGUGGGAUGCUUGAAGAAGGUUCCAUACCAUACAGAAAUCUGAAAAGAUAGGAGCAUCUUCGAUGUACUUGUUGUUUCCAGCAUCAUAUAAUGAAUCUCCAAAGAUAAAUAAGGCAACAUGCUUAGAACCAUGGCAGCUUCUUGCAACCAGAAGGCUUGCACAAAACACCAAGAAACAAUUCUUAAUAUUGGACCUUGAAAUACUGUUAUAUAAUUGUAUAAGGAUUGAUAAUAUAUUUUUUAGUUAGAAAGAAAAAUUUAUUUGUAAAUUUAAAAUUUGAAGUAUAUAUUUAAUAAAAUAAAUUAAAAAUUAUAAGUGCUAAUAAAUAUAUAAAAAAUAAGUUGUCAAGGUGAAAACAAAUACAAAUUAAAAUAUUCGAUUUUACAUUAUAAAGAACCCUUCAAUUAUUUAUAUUUAAUUAUAUAACAGUAUUUUAAUUAUAAAAAUAAUAAUUUAAAUUUUGUUUAAACAAAAUAAUUUUCUAUUAUAUUUCCUUCUUUUAUUAAUACUUUUAAUUUCAGUAAAAAAAAUUAACUUUUUGUUGCUUGUCUUUCAUUUAAUAAAAAUUAAAAGAAAUUAGAAUACAUAUCCAUAGGAUUUUGGAUGAUUUAAAAUAAAAAAAAAAUAUCUCUCUAAUUAGAAUCUGUUUGCCUAGCUGACACGCUCAUUUAAAAAAAAAAAUCUUUAUCAGAAUAUUUAAUUUUUAGAUAUUAUUUUAUCAUUAUCUUAAAACAAGUUUGAAUGAUUAUAAAACACAUUUUGAUAACCUAGAAAAUAAUAAUUUAAUAAACAUCCUUAAAACUUAAAAAAAUAAUAAUUUAUUAGCCCAAAAAAACCUAAAACAAUUGUCCAAAAUAAAAAAAGUAAAAAUCAUGAAAAAAAGUUUUCUUUAUCUUUUGAGUAGUUUUUAAUAUCUUGAGCUCUACCUCACUUGUCUCUGAUGAUUGAUUAUUAUAAAAAAUUUCUAUAGCUCCCAAUUUCCAAGAUUAUAGUAUGAGGCGACAAGGCAAGUGGCUGUGUUUUUUCAAAAAUACAAUCAAAGGCAGUAAGACACGAUUAUGCUGAAAAAAUUCUUAUGGUAAGCUUUGGUUGGUUUAGAAAAAUAUGCUUGAUUCAUCACGUUUCUCCACCAAUAAAAGUGUUGGCAUGAAAACAAGUAGAAUUAAUGAGAUUGUGUAUAGAAAAAUAUAUAAAAUAUUUGCACAAUAAAAAAAAGAAUAGAAGAAAAAAUAUAUAAAAUAUACAUAAAAAUAAAAAAUAUAUCUAAAAAGAACCUAAGUAUUUUUUUGGCUGGGCUCGAAAUCAUACCCAACUGUCUAGAUCCGAUAGUUUUUAUUUUAGCUGAUAUGAUCAUUAUGAUUGUAAGAAAUUGUUCAAUAAGAGUUAUUAUCUUAUAUAAGAUUUAAAAAUUCAAAAUCUUUAUUUUAUAACUUCUAAGUUUUGAGUACAUUAUUAUUAUUAUUAUUAUUAAUAUAUGAAAUGAAUGACUAUUAAAGUUAUUAAUUAGAUGUUAGACUGGUGGCGGAAAUCGUAAUGGCGGCUAAUAUUUCAAGUCGGCUUGAAUAUUACUGCUCGACGGCUUAGCUAGGUAGAUAGCUCAAGCUCAACUCAAGCGGGUGAAAUAUGAUUGUUACAGAUUGUAACAGCUAAAUCCAGCUAGAGAGGAGUAGGAAUCCAGGAAAAAAACAAUCAACGGCUAGGAUUGGGUUGGGUAUUUGAGAAUGGGUCCGCUUCCUGUCCAGGAGAGAGGGGGGAAGAAGACUUGGUUGGUUUUCUUUCUCUCUCCACAAGGCAAGGAAAAAAAUGAAAUCAAGGUUGUCAAUUCUAUUUUGAUAUGUAUUUUAUUUAUUUAAUUGAAAUGAAAUAUUUUAGUUUUGAAGUAUUUUAAUAUAUUAUUUUGGAGUUGUACUGUUUAUAUAUAUAAUUCAAAUUAAUUAAUUAUAACAUAAUUCAAAUUUAAGAUAAAUUAAUUAUAAAUUAUGCAAUACAAACACAAUGCCAAACAAAUAUAAUUUCAAAAUUUAAAAUAUUUUUAAAUAGUCAAGAUUAAAUAAAUCUUUAACUUAAAGUAAUUCAACUUAAACAAAAUAUCAAAAUAUUAUGAAAGUAAAAUGUUUUAAUAAAAAUAUUUUAAAUAUAAAAUUAGGUUAAUGUUAUCAAGUGGUUAAUGGAAUCUAAAGCUUCCCUUGUUUUGCUCAAAUUCCUACAAAGUAUAAAUAUGAAAAAAAAAAUAACAUGAAUAUAAACCAUAUAUAUUAGUGAUAAAUCUAAUUUUAAAAAAUUAAUAUUAUUGUUAAUGAAAAUAGUAAUAAUAAUUUUCAAUAUUAUUAUUAAUAUCAUUGCUAUUGAAAAUAGUAAUGAAAAAGAGCUUUUUUAUAAUCAGGUGGUUUAAUUAAUGAAAUUAAGUAAGGUUCAAUUUGAUUCAAUGACUUUUUAAGAGUGGAACGAAACAUGUGGAAUGAAACUGGAACGUUUCGGGCGAAAUUUAGCUGAAAAAUCCAGAAUGGACCGAGAUUUAAAAUUAGAUGAAAUUUGUUCCGUUUUUUGAAUUAAUAUGGAAUGUUUCGGCCAUUCUGGACGAAACGGAACGGAAUUGACAACCUUUAAUGAAAUAAAAUGAUGGUGGUUUUCUGGGACCCGUGUAUCCCCUGAAAUUGAAAGACCAUACGACCACGUGUUGCCGGUAAGGUCACUUUCAAUAUUCAUCCCCAUCCUCAUCCUCAUCCCUAUGGUCUAAAUUAUAAAACUAAGUCCUUUUAGUUUUGAGAAAUGAAUUAAUUAGUUAUUUUUUAAAAAAAAUAAAUUAUUUAGUCCUUUUUGUUCAUUUAUGUUUUUUAUUUUUUAAAAAAUAAAAGAAAGGAAAUGAAUAAAUAAAUAUUAUAAAAAAGUAACCUGGUCAAUGAACUAGGUAAUUUAUUUUUUUAAAAAAAGAUUAAUUAAUUUAUCUUUUAAAAAUAGAGAAACUGUUUUUUACGAGAAUUCACAUUUUUUUAUAUCCAAUAUGUAUAUUUAUGCUCUAAAACAGACAUCGGUUAUGAGAAGAUUUGACAAAAAUACCGACAACAUUGACAAAAAAAAAAAAAACACUAAUUGAGAAUAUUUUGAAAUGUUUGGAACCUAAUUGAAAAAAUUCAUAGGUUUUAAAUGUAAUUGAGAAUGGAUAUACAAGUUGGAGAGUAACAUGAGGGUUUCCCUAUAAUAGCAUGUUUUAAAUUAUAUAUACUUAUAAUUUUUAAAUUUUAAUUUCAUCGUUUGAUUUUUGAACAAAUAAAAUAUGUAUAAUUGGACCAGGUCUAAAGAUUAGAUGGGAUCAAACCAAUAAGAAGCCUGAGAAAGUCCACGAAGAAAAACCAGCUAACAUUGCAAUGAGGACUUGUUUCAACAGUUAGAAUGACAAAAAACCCAGCUAACAUCGGCAAAUAUAGGUUCAAAUUACCAGUUUACAUACCUGACGUCCACUGUGCAUAAAAAUAUCUGUAUUUAAAAUGAUUUUUAUAUUUGAUCCUAUUAUUACAUACCUAACGUCCACUGUGCAUCAAAAAAUUACCUGGAACUAUUAAAAGAUGUUUUUAUUUAUAAUUUUUUAAAAUAUAAAAACAUGUUAGAGAAGUUGUGUAUAUACAUAUUAUUGCUGAAAAAAAUAUCUUUAUUUAAAAUGAUUUUUGUAUUUUAUCCUAUUAUUUUGUACCAUUAGAGAAGACAACACAAUAAAACUAUAUAGGUGAUGAGACAAAGGGAUAAAAUGGGGAUCCAAAAACAUUUUAAAUAUUUGUUAGUAAAUUAAAAACACCAGAAGCCAAUAAAUUAUAGUGUUGAUUAUAAAAAUAAAGGUAUUAAGUUAUAAUUUUGUUUAAAAUGCAAGGGAUAAAUUUACACCACAUCCAUUUAAUAAUUAUUAUUAACAUAUAUUGAAAGACCUUGAUAUUUCAUUAUAGCAAUAAACAGUGAAAUGUGAUAGCCUUAGUUUGGUCCUCAAGAUUUACUAAAAGAUCUUAGCAUUUUAUUAUUGCAAUGAACAUUAAAAUGCUUUGACCUUUUACAAUUUGAUCCUCGAGGUUUUUUAUUUUAUUUUUUGCAAUUUCAUCUUCUGACAUUAAAUUUAAUGGACAUUGAACUUUAUAGUUUAUUUUGAUUUAUUUUCUAUGAAGUUAUCUUAGUCUUAUAAUCUAAGUUUUAACAAGUUAAUACGAGUUUACUCGACUAUUUUUUUGUAUUUUUUUUUAAAUUUAACUUCAUCCUUCAGUAUUGAGUUGAUUGAGAAUUUGAUUUGAUUUUUUUUUAUUUGUUUUAUAUAGGGUUAUCAUGGUCUCGUGACCUGGAUCACAAGUUUUGCGAGUUAGCCAAUUUGAUUGGAAUUUUUUUAGGUCCUUUGUUCUUUUUAAUUGAAUUUUUUUUUCAAUUUCAUUAUUCAAAUUGAAAAUUUGAAUUCAGAAUUUUUUUUUAUUUCAAAGUUAUCCCGGUCUCAUGAUUGAGGUUUGAUAGGUUAACCGAGUUUGAAUCAAUAUUUUGUUUUUUUUUUAAUUGAUUUUUUUUUCAAAUUAAUCCUUCAACAUUGAGUUGAUUGGAAAUUGUGCUUUAUAAUUUAUUUUUAUUUAUUUUCUAUAGAUUAUCAUGGUUUCAUGACCCAAGUCGCAGGUUGCUUGAUUGCCUCGAGUUUUUUUUUCUUUUUUUUAAUUAUUUUUUUUCAAUUUCAUCCUUCAAUAUUGAGUUGAUUAAGCAUUAGAUUUCAUAAUUUAUUAAGCAUUAGAUUUCAUAAUUUAUUUUGGUUUGUUUACAUGAAGUUAUGACAACCUCAUGACUUAAGUCACAAGUUUGGUUGGUUAACUCAAGUGGUUUUUUCGUGCUCUUUUUUUAAUUGAUUUUUUUUUCAAUUUCAUCAUUUAAAAUUAGAUUGAUUGAGAAUUGAGCUUCAUAAUUUAUUUAAGUUUUUUUCUAUAUAGUUAUCUCAUUCUCAUAACUAAGAUAACCUAGGUUGACUCGACUUCUUUUUCUAAUUGAUUUUUUUUAAUUUUAUUAUUUAAUAUUGGAUUAAUUGAGAAAUGAGCUUAAUGAUUAUUUUUUAUUUACUUCUACAGGGUUAUCAAGGUUUUAUGAUAUGAGUUGGAGAUUUGAUAGGAUAACUUGAGUUGAUUCGAGUGAAUCCAAAUCGAUUUGAGUAAAUCUAAGUAGAUACAAUAUAUUAUUGUCUUACUAUUUUAAAAAUAAUAUCGUGCUGAAUUUUUUUUUGUCAAGUUACAUUUUUACCUGUUAUUUAAGUUGUUUUUAGAUCUAUAAAGUUGAUUAUAUCAUAUCAGGACAGUUUUUAUAUAAUUUAUUUAUUUAUUUUUGCUAGAAAAUAUAUUAAAUAAAUUACUUCAUCAACUUUGCCAAUAAAAACAUGAUAGGUUCGAAUCAUUUUCCAUUUAUAAUAGUGUUUAGAUAAGUGAAUGACCUCAUCAACUUUGCUAUUAAAAACAUAAUACGGGCAACCGUGUGAUUAUGGUUUGGAUCCAGGUCGGGACAAGUGCUGGAGUUCAUGAUCGUGACCACCUAGCAUCUUCGAAUAAUUCUCCUCUAUCACCCUUUUUUUUUUUAAUGCUUGUUUGGAAUAAGUUUUUGAGAUUAGUUGUGAUUAUGAUGUCAUUCUACUGUCAUUAAGAAUAAAUUAACUCUAACCGAGGAUUAAAACAGAUUUAUCAAAUACUUUUUGCACUGUGUCUAGCUAAUGGAGAAUAUAUUGAAAAGAAAAAUACCCUUGAGAAUUCACAGCCAAAAGCGUUAAUCACGUUUCUGUUUAAAACAGGAAAAGGCAUGCAAUAAUUGACAAAUGUUGCUUGAAAUCACAGCUAUCUUCCUUCUCUGAAACUUCAAUUGCUUUAUUAUACUUUUAUAGGCAUAGCCAAGUCAAGCCUGCACCGUGUGGAGCCUAAUCAAUAUAAUCAGAGACUGCUGUUUGCCUUUUCCAUUUUUCAUCUCAUACUGCUCUGUCUUCUCAAUAUUUACUUGCCAUUUCUUGCUCACCUCCCCUGCUUUUAGUUUUCCUUGCACCUUUUCUACCUCUUCUUUUCCAUUCCAAAACAAGCUAUGGCUGAUGCUAUUGUUUCUGCUCUCGCGAGUACAAUCGUGGGGAACUUAAAUUCCUUAUUUCUUCAAGAGCAUGGACUUGCUGGGGGCCUAGAGACUGAGCUUGAAAAUCUCAAGCGCACAUUCAGAACCAUUCAAGCUGUGCUGCAAGAUGCAGAGGAGAAGCAGUGGAAGAGUGAGCCUAUCAAGGUGUGGCUCAGCGACCUAAAGGAUGCUGCUUAUGUUGUUGAUGAUGUACUGGAUGAGUUUGUAAUUGGAGCUAAGUGGCUUCUGCAGCGAAGAGAUCUCAAAAAUCGAGUAAGAUCCUUCUUUUCUAGCAAACAUAAUCCAAUUGUUUUUCGACAAAGGAUGGCUCAUAAAUUGAAGAAUGUUAGAGAAAAACUAGAUGCCAUUGCCAAGGAGAGACAAAAUUUCCACCUAACAGAGGGGGCUGUGGAGAUGGAAGCAGAUAUUUUGUUCAGCGUCAGACUUGGUCUUCGGUGAAUGAAUCAGAAAUUUAUGGAAGAGGCGAGGAGAAAGAGGAACUAAUCAACAUGCUGCUCACUACUUCAGGUGAUCUCCCUAUUCAUGCUAUAAGGGGGAUGGGGGGGCUGGGUAAAACAACACUUGUUCAACUGGUCUUCAAUGAAGAAAGUGUUAAACAACAAUUCAGUUUGAGGAUCUGGGUGUGUGUAUCUACUGAUUUCGAUCUCAGAAGAUUAACAAGAGCCAUCAUAGAGUCCAUUGAUGGUUCCCCUUGUGGUCUUCAAGAAUUGGAUCCCUUGCAACAAUGCCUCCAACAAAAGUUAAAUGGAAAGAAGUUUUUGCUUGUAUUGGAUGAUGUGUGGGAUGAUUAUGGUGAUAGGUGGAAUAAAUUGAAGGAGGUAUUAAGGUGUGGAGCUAAAGGUAGUGCUGUCAUAGUAACUACGCGUAUUGAGAUGGUUGCUCUUAGAAUGGCAACAGCUUUUGUCAAGCACAUGGAGAGAUUGUCUGAAGAAGAUUCUUGGCGGUUGUUUCAACAGCUUGCAUUCGGGAUGAGAAGGAAAGAGGAGCGGGCACGUCUGGAAGCCAUUGGAGUAUCAAUAGUGAAGAAGUGUGGUGGUGUUCCUUUAGCUAUAAAGGCACUCGGGAACCUAAUGCGGUUAAAAGAAAGUGAAGAUCAGUGGAUAGCUGUCAAAGAAAGUGAGAUUUGGGAUCUAAGAGAAGAAGCAAGCAAGAUCUUACCUGCUUUGAGGUUGAGUUACACUAAUCUAUCACCACAUUUGAAGCAAUGCUUUGCGUAUUGCGCUAUAUUUCCAAAAGAUCACGUGAUGAGGAGGGAGGAGCUGGUUGCUUUGUGGAUGGCAAAUGGCUUUAUUUCUUGCAGAAGAGAAAUGGAUUUGCACGUCAUGGGCAUUGAGAUAUUCAAUGAACUAGUGGGAAGGUCAUUUCUGCAAGAGGUCGAGGAUGAUGGAUUUGGCAACAUAACAUGUAAAAUGCAUGAUCUUAUGCAUGAUCUUGCACAAUCCAUUGCAGUACAAGAAUGCUAUACGACAGAAGGCGAUGGGGAGUUGGAAAUUCCUAAAACUGCCCGUCAUGUUGCUUUUUAUAACAAAUCAGUAGCUUCGUCUUCUGAAGUUCUCAAGGUCCUAUCACUUCGCUCACUUCUUGUGAGGAAUGAACAGUAUGGGUAUGGAUGGGGAAAGAUUCCUGGUCGAAAACAUCGAGCCUUGAGUUUAAGAAAUAUCCGGGCCAAGAAAUUGCCGAAGUCAAUUUGUGAUUUGAAACAUCUAAGGUAUCUAGAUGUGUCAGGCUCGUUCAAAACACUGCCUGAAAGUACAACCUCUCUCCAAAACCUCCAGACACUAGAUCUGAGUUCUUGCAGCGAACUCAUCCAAUUACCAAAAGGUAUGAAGCACAUGAGAAAUCUUGUCUAUCUUGACAUAACGGGUUGUUAUUCACUUCGAUUUAUGCCUGCUGGAAUGGGGCAAUUGAUAUUCCUGCGAAAACUUACCCUGUUCAUUGUGGGUGGGGAGAAUGGUCGUCGCAUAAGUGAGCUGGAAGGGCUGAAUAAUCUUGCUGGUGAAUUGAGUAUCACAGAUCUUGUGAAUGUUAAGAAUUUAAAAGAUGCCACAAGUGCCAAUUUGAAGUUGAAGACAGCUCUUUUAUCACUGACUUUAUCUUGGCAUGGUAAUGGAGAUUACCUUUCUUACCCUUGGUUAAUUGUGCCACCGCAACAAAGAAAGAGUGUUAUUCAGGUAAAUAACGAGGAGGUCCUUGAAGGGCUUCAACCUCAUUCAAAUCUGAAGAAGUUGAGGAUAUGGGGAUAUGGAGGUUCAAGAUUUCCUAAUUGGAUGAUGAACUUGAACAUGACGCUACCAAAUCUGGUAGAGAUGGAGCUAUCAGCAUGUGACCACUGUGAACAACUUCCACCAUUGGGGAAACUGCAGUUCCUCAAGAGUCUUGUAUUGCGUGGAAUGGAUGGUGUGAAGAGUAUUGACAGCAAUGUGUAUGGAGAUGGGCACAAUCCAUUCCCAUCUUUGGAGACGCUGACUUUUAAGCACAUGGAGGGAUUAGAGCAAUGGGCUGCGUGUACUUUUCCUCGCCUUCGAGAAUUGGAGAUAGUCGGUUGCCCUGUGUUGAACGAAAUACCAAUUAUACCCUCCAUCAAAUCACUGCACAUCGAGGGAGUGAAUGCUUCGUUGCUGAUGUCAGUUAGGAAUCUCACUUCGAUCACUUCUCUUUAUAUUAGAGGGAUUGACGAUGUGAGGGAGCUUCCCGAUGGGAUUUUGCAAAAUCAUACCCUCCUUGAAAGCUUCCAUAUUAGUGAGAUGCGAGAUCUGGAGUCUUUGUCAAAUAGGGUAUUAGAUAACCUUUCUGCACUUCAAAAGUUGGAGAUAUGGGGUUGCGAGAAACUUGAAAGCUUGCCAGAGGAAGGUCUUCGUAACCUCAAUUCCUUGGAGGUUUUAGAGAUAUGUAGAUGUCCAAGAUUAAAUUGUCUGCCAAUGAAUGGGUUGUCUGGCUUAUCUUCUCUUCGGGAGUUACUUUUUCAACAUUGUGUUAAAUUAACAUCUCUCACUGAGGGAGUGCGGCAUCUGACGGCACUUGAGGAUUUGUUACUUAAUGGAUGUCCAGAGCUAAAUUCAUUGCCAGAGAGUAUCCAACUUCUCACUUCUCUCCAAUCUCUAAGAAUAUGGGACUGCGAGGGAUUAACUUCUUUGCCAAAUCAGAUUGGAUAUCUCACUUCUCUCCAAUCUCUACAUAUAUGGAACUGCAAGGGAUUAACUUCUUUGCCAAAUCAGAUUGGAUAUCUCACUUCUCUCCAAUCUCUACUCAUUGAGGGUUGUCCAAAUUUGAAGAAAAGGUGUGAGAAAGAUUUAGGCGAAGACUGGUCUAAGAUAGCUCACAUUCCUAAUAUUAGUAUAAAUUGAUAUGCAAAAUUGUUAAAAUAAUUUCUCAUUAACAUUGAAUGAGAAUAAAAUAUAUAUUUUCUUAGUUUUAAUUUGUUGUAAUUGUUUAAAUAACUUUAACAAAGAUUAAUUUCUUUGUAUCCUAAAUUGAAAAUGUUUGGAUUUGCGAGCUUUGUCAUUCAAGAUCGCUGUGCGCUUCACGUGGAAAUACACUCGCUCGAUUGCCUAUAGUUGACCCAGCCUUUUAUCCAUUAUAUUUUAUUUCGAUCAAAACGACCUUUUCAUGUAAAAUUUUCUAAACUUAAAAUACGCAUCGCUCGCACCAGAAAGUAUAUAGAGAGCAUCAAUACAAACAAACUGGAAAAUCGAAAUCUAAUCCAUCCAAAUAAUAAACUUAUUACAAAACAAUGGAGACGGCAAUUUGAGUAACAAUUCAAGACUGUAAUUUAACAAAAAGCUUCAUGAUGCUUUAUGAAAUGAAAAUUGUUUACACAAAACAAUAAAGAAUGAGCUCAUAAGCAUGGUCUUUUAGUCUGUAUGAAGACGUAAUUUUACUUAAUUAAUUGAAACUAAUAAUAUUAAACAAGAGGAGCUAAUUGAUUGAGUCUUGGAUCGAGACGUAAUGUUACUUAAUUCUGAAUCAAUUGGUUAUAUGUACUUAAUUUGCUUGUUUGUAUCACUAAUUACUACUGCCUCCCGGCGUAAAUCUCAAGGGAAGUGGAAUUAACAAAGAUUAAUAUCAUAAUCUAAACUUCAUUUCUUGCAAGCAAUAUAAUAAAACUAUACCCAAGUCUCAGGUUUAAUUUAGUUUCCCUUUGAUUUUCAGCUCCACAACCAUUAUCUUUUAGAUAGCCAAAGGUCAUUUUCCAGGCUAAAAGACCACUAAAACUCGCAACGUCCACUGCCAAAACAGAAAUAUCCCAUGAUUUUCCUCAAGGCCUUUUCAAGGUAUACAAAGAUGGCCGCAUAGAGAGAUAUUGGAACAUUGACUUCGUUUCAGGAGGCGUCGACACAGAAACAGGGGUCCAUUCCAAAGAUGUUGUGAUCUCACCAGUGACCAACGUCAAGGCUCGUAUUUUCCUCCCAAAAAUCGACGGCCCAGCUAAAAAGCUCCCUCUCCUCGUCCACUAUCAUGGUGGUGGCUUUUGCAGAGGCUCACCAUUUACUUCUGCCUUGAAGAAUUUUCUUUCAACCCUAGCCACCCAAGCCGAUGUCACCGCUAUAUUGACUACAGGUUAGCACCUGAACACCAAUUACCGAUUGCAUACGAUGAUUCAUGGGCAGGGCUUAAGUGGAUCGUGAAGCACUCUAAUGGUAAUGGACCCGAACCAUGGAUUAAUGAAUAUGCGGAUCUCGGGCGGGUUAUUUUAGCCGGCGAGAGUGCUGGAGGCACCAUAGCCCAUUAUGUGGCUGUCCAAGCUGGGGCUGCGGGAUUGGCUGCCGUGGCUAUAGAAAGGUUACUAAUAGUGCACCCAUAUUUUUGGGCUAAGGAGCCAGACAAGUUCUACCAAUAAAUAUGUCCAACAAGUUCUGGGGCAGAUGAUCCAAAAUUGAACCCGGCAGUGGAUCCGAAUUUGUCGAAAUUUAAGUGUGAUAAAGUGUUAGUUUGUGUGGCAGAAAAAGGAUAAGCAUAGAGGCAGAGGUAUGGCUUAUUAUAAGCUAUGAGCGAGUGUGGAUGGGGUGGUACUGUGAAUUUUUAUGAAACUGAAGGGGAGGACCAUUGCUUUUAUUUGCUGAAUCCCAAGAGCGAGAAUAUCGAGCCCCUGGUGAAAAAAAUUGUUGAUUUCAUACGGCUGGAUUGAUUUUUUGAGUUUUAUUAAGUGGGAAUCAACAACUUAAUUUUCAGCAAUGGUGAGAGCAGAAAAAUAAUGGUUGAAUUUAAGUUUGUUUGGAUUGUAUUUUGUUUUUUAAUUUUUUAAUAUAUGUACUUUCAAAUGCCAUAUAAAAUGUGCCAUUAUGUUUAUUGCAUUCUUUUGGGCCAUUUUGGCUUGGCAGCACUUUUGUUUUUUAAAUAUUGGUGAAAUAAUACAAAAAAAAAUAAAAAAUAGUGAAAUAAUACAAUUUAUACAUGUCAAUGAAUGGAAAAUGCAAUAUAACUCAGUUUAUGCAGGUCGUGAUUGAAAAAUACUAUACUUAUAACUUGUUGCUAUUAGAAUAACAACUUCUAUAAAAACAUUUAUGAAAAAAACAAGAAACAUAAGAGAGAAAGGAAUCUAAAAAGGAAAGGAUAACUCUUAAAAAGAAUGCCAUCAACAAUAAUCCAAGUGAGUUACAUUUGUUUCUACAGAUGACGAAUAACUUACUUGCUUUUGGUGCUAAUUGUAAUUGUGAUUCACUAGGAUUGUUGUCGUUGAUCUUAUUUGUUGUUAUUGUAUUUAUCCCGUCAAAAUCUUUUUGUUGUUGUAGAAGUCAUUAUUCUGAAUAGCAACAAGCUAUAAAUAUCGUGUUUUUCUAAUUGCGACAUGUACAAACUAUGAUAUUGCACUAAUUAUUUUUAAUUAUAUGUUAUUCUACUAAUAUUCUUCAUUUAAUGUGCUAUUUUUUUUAAUCAUUCUUUCGCUUCCCUUAUUUCUUCAUUCUAGGUGCAAACAAAGUAAAAUAUCAUAAAGUAAAUAUUUCAUGUUUAUAUUUAGUCAACUAAUUUGGUUUAAUUAAAAAAAUACCUUUUUAAAAGCCAACUUUAAUAAAGAACAACAAUAAAAAAAAACCCUAAAAUAACCCAAGUUAUUUUCCAAAUUAAUGAGAAAUCUUGUAGAAAACAAAUAAAAAUAUAAUGGAGUUCAAUAUUUAAUUAAAUAAAUACUAAAAGAUAAAAUUAAAAAAAACACAAGUUUAAAAAAAAGAAAAAAAAAAGAGUAAGCAAACUUAGAAAUAUUUUCUAAACCUGAAUUAAUAUUUCAAAUUCAGAAAUCAUAAAAUUCUAGACUCCAACUUAAUAUAAAAACUCAAUCUCUAAUUAAUUUAAUAUUAAAUAAUGUAAUAAAUUUUCUCGAAUGGGAUUAAUCUUACCAUUUAAAAAAAGUGUGAUGAUACUCGGGUAAGAAAAAAAAAUGUUAGAAAAACUUGAAAUUUUGACGUUUGAAUAUAUAUUCAAUUUUGACGUCUUCAAGAUCUUGGACUUGCUGGGGGCCUAAGGACCGAGCUUGAAAAUCUCAAGCGCACGUUCAGAACCAUUCAAGCUGUGCUGCAAGAUGCAGAGGAGAAGCAGUGGAAGAGUGAGCCUAUCAAGGUGUGGCUCAGCGACCUCAAGGAUGCAGCUUAUGUUGUUGACGAUGUACUGGAUGAGUUUGCAAUUGAAGCUCAGUGGCUUCUGCAGCGAAGAGAUCUCAAAAAUCGAGUAAGAUCCUUCUUUUCUUUUGGUCAUAAGCCACUAGUUUUUCGAUUGAAAAUGGGGCUUAAAUUGAAAAAUGUGAGAGAAAAACUGGAUGCCAUUGCCAAUGAGAAAAACAAGUUCAAUUUAACACCACGAGUUGGGGACACAGCAGCUGAUACCUACGAUUGGCGGCUUACCAGCUCACUCGUGAAUGAAUCAGAAAUUUAUGGAAGAGGCAAGGAGAAAGAAGAACUAGUUAACAUCCUGCUCGCAAAUUCAGACAACCUCCCUAUUUAUGCUAUAUGGGGAAUGGGGGGACUCGGGAAAACAACACUUUCUCAAAUGGUCUACAAUGAAGAAAGGGUUAAACAACAUUUCAGUUUGAGGAUCUGGGUGUGUGUAUCUACUGAUUUCGAUGUAAGAAGAUUAACAAGAGCCAUCAUAGAGUCCAUUGAUGGUGCUUCAUGUGAUAUUCAAGAAUUGGAUCCCUUGCAACAACGCCUCCAACAAAAGUUAACUGGAAAAAGGUUUUUGCUUGUAUUAGAUGAUGUGUGGGAUGAUUAUGAUGAUAGGUGGAAUAAAUUGAAAGAGGUAUUAAGGUCCGGAGCUAAAGGUAGUGCUGUGUUGGUAACUACGCGUAUUGAGAUGGUUGCUCGUAGAAUGGCAACAGCUUUUGUCCAGCACAUGGGGAGAUUGUCUGAAGAAGAUUCUUGGCAUUUGUUUCAACGGCUUGCAUUUUGGAUGAGAAGGAAAGAGGAGUGGGCACACCUGGAAGCCAUUGGAGUAUCAAUAGUGAAGAAGUGUGGUGGUGUUCCUUUAGCUAUAAAGGCACUCGGGAACCUAAUGCGGCUAAAAGAUAAUGAAGAUCAGUGGAUAGCUGUCAAAGAAAGUGAGAUUUGGGAUCUAAGAGAAGAAGCAAGCAAGAUCUUACCUGCUUUGAGGUUGAGUUACACUAAUCUAUCACCACAUUUGAAGCAAUGCUUUGCGUAUUGCGCUAUAUUUCCAAAAGAUCACGUGAUGAGGAGGGAGGAGCUGGUUGCUUUGUGGAUGGCAAAUGGCUUUAUUUCUUGCAGAAAAGAAAUGGAUUUGCAUGUCAUGGGUAUUGAGAUAUUCAAUGAACUAGUGGGAAGGUCAUUUCUGCUAGAGGU
rnacentral:lncRNA from 1 species